GGUAGUGUGGCCGAGUGGUCUAAGGCGCUGGUUUCAGGUACCAGUCUCUUCGGAGGCGCGGGUUCGAAUCCCGUCGCUACCA
rnacentral:tRNA from 1 species